UAGAGAUGGGGUUUCGCCAUGUUGUCCAGGCUGGUCUUAAACUCAUGAGCUCAAGCGAUCCAUCCACCUCAGCCUCCCAAAGUGCUGGGAUUACAGGUGUGAACCACUCUGCCUGGCCCCCAGCAGUAUAUUUUAAACAAACCCUCCGGAUGGCUCUGAUGCAUGCAUACAGUAAAUAGUGGCUUGCCGUCGUUGGAGUUGAUCUGAAACUGUUGAUUCUGGACUUCUACCAUUUUGGGACCUGAAGAAUUAAAACAGUUUAUUAUAAACUGUUCACUACAAGCAGUGUCCAAAUCUCUAUUUUUACACAUGCCACGUCAACCCUACAAUACCAAGUAUCUAAAGACUUGGUAUUUGUUACCAUUAGUGGUAUUGAUUGAUUCUGUGAUUAAACUUUGCAACUUUUAAGUCUAAAUCUAUUGUAUUAUUAAAAUUAAUUGUGUCA
rnacentral:lncRNA from 1 species